GGGGGGGGCAUCUACGGUUCAGCCUGCACACUGGGAUUGUUAGAAGCUCCACAGUUGAUUCUCAAGUGCAGUAAGGAGAGUGAGCCCAGAUCUCCAUCUGGAAAGGUGCUAGAAGAAUGAAGACAGUUUGAGUGGGGUGAAUGAAGGCUGAUGAAGACCUGCCCCUCCUUUGCUGUCGCAAGGCAGUGAGGAGGUCUCCGGUGCGGUGCGUGCAGGAGCUCCCAAGAGUGACUUUUCCUGUUCGCGUCUUUCCGCCUUAGGGGGACUGAGCGAGCCAAAAGGGGAGUGCUUGUGUCUGGGGCUCAGGGACCCACGGCGCAGUGCCAUGGGAACCGUUAGCCAUUGCUUGAAAAAUUACUUUAAUAAAGUCCGACAACUCCCGAGGUGGGGGAGGAAAGGCAGCGGCGGCGGCUGGGGACGG